UCAUAAAAUAUGCUCAAAUCCUAAUUACAGCUUCUCAUGUUGCAAUGGAUAAAUGGGUAUGAAUCAUGCUUGUUAAAUAUUGAACCUCAAAACUAAGAAGAAAUUGAUUUUUUUAACAUUUUUAAAUUUUGGUCCUUCAAUGGACUUUUGCAUCGCUGCCAACCCUUGACCUUUUAAAUAACCACUAUGCAAGCAAAUUAUGGUUAAGUGUCUGAAAUGUUGUUUCGUCUAUUUUAGCCAACCCAAAGGAGCUAACAAAUAAAUCAUCAGUCCUCAAACGAAUCAACCAGUGAAGGAGAAAAACAUUCAAAGCCGUAAAUUGUCAAAUCCAUCAGUUGGAAGAUGGAUGUCAAAGUCUUAGACAACGAAAGGCUUCCAGAGUUAAGAAAAGACCACUUCAACAAAAACAAUCAUGCAAAGAAUGACUGCAAAAAAUCUUUUCGCAGAUGCGUUUCAUCAUCAAGUGUAUAAGGAAAAGGGACCUGGGUACAGAGACUAGAUGUAAAUGUCAAGGACUGAAAUGAGCAAUUCAAUGGUUUCUUACUAAUUGUGUUUAUAUGCGUCAUAAGAAAUUAAAACUGUUAUAAAUGGA